UACGAACUGGGCGAACGUUAUUCGGAAUCGCUGGGCUUACAGGGUGCGUAGGCGGCUUGUUAAGUAGGGUGUGAAAGCCCCCGGCUCAACCGGGGAAUGGCGCCCUAAACUGGCGAGCUAGAGUGAGAUAGGGGUGUGUGGAACUUCCGGUGGAGCGGUGAAAUGUGUUGAUAUCGGAAGGAACGCCGGUGGCGAAAGCGACACACUGGAUCUUGUCUGACGCUGAGGCACGAAAGCCAGGGGAGCGAACGGG
rnacentral:rRNA from 1 species